AACGCGUAGGUAAUCUACCCUUAUAUUUGGGAUAACAUUGGGAAACUGGUGCUAAUACCGAAUGGUCUUCAUUUCUGUUAGGGAGAUGGAGUAAAGGUGGCCUCUUCAUGAAAGCUACCGUGUAGGGAUGAGCCUGCGUACCAUUAGCUAGUAGGUGGGGUAAUGGCCCACCUAGGCUACGAUGGUUAGCGGGUCUGAGAGGAUGAUCCGCCACACUGGAACUGGAACACGGACCAG
rnacentral:rRNA from 1 species